rnacentral:snRNA from 1 species
UGCGGAAUCAGGUACUGA